CAGCUGGGGUAGACCACAGGGGAGCACCUGCUGAGCUCUGAGGGCCAGGGAGCAGCAGCUGCUCUACACCAAGGGGGGCACUCUAGGCAUGUUUGCUGGGUGAUCUGAACACUGGGGGCCUCUGAUGACCCAGGGUCAUUAUCCAGCUUUUACUCACUGACAUGCCCAGGGUCCCCAGGGCAUGCGUGGAGGCUGGAAUGUGACUCAUGACCCAGUGAUGCACCAGCUGCUCCAGCUGGGACCCUGGGGAGAUCUGUGUGCAAGGCAGCACAAUGAACAUGUCUUUCUGUUACAGCAACAACUGCAUCUGCAGUGGGAGACCUGAGCCUGGGCCUCCGGUCAAUCUGACACUGAGGACUCCUGUUGAUGUCCAGGUGAGCAGAGAGUUUGAUGACCUCGCCAGCUCAGUGAAGGUCACUCUUCCAGGGCUUUGCAGAAAGACUGCUACCUGCACAGUGGAUCACAGAACAGAGUUGCUGCCAGCCUUCAGCCCGUCCCCACCAGCGUCUGCCCCUAAAUGACUGCAGAGUGUGGCUUCCUCGCCUUCCAUUUGCCACUUCAACUUCACAUGGAGGGUUCUGGACUUCUCCAUGCCUUGUUACCACCUGAGUCUGCACUGAGUCCUCAUGUCAGCUUGGGGUAAGUCCUCAGAGUCGGCCUUCAUGAUGACUCAGACACCUGUACCCUUCUCAGCCCCCAUGGUCCUUGUGCUAACCUGGGCCUCCCUCCGCUCUCACUCAUGUAAUGACUUCACUCAUGAGAAUUGUAUGGUAUGUGAAUUAUAUCUCAAAGAUGUUACCAAAAAAGACCCAUAUUGUUUGAUCUUAAUUGUGUAAAAAAUGUGUAUGAAUGUAUAUACACACAAAAAAAGACCAAAAAUACCCCUGGUAUAUUAAUAAUAUUUAUCUCCAAGUUGUGGGUUUAUGUACCUUUAUUUUAUUUAUAUUUUUCUGCGUUUUCCACACAUUCUACUCUUUGUGCUUUUUUGAAUCAGACAAAUAAAUAGUACUAACUUCACA
rnacentral:lncRNA from 1 species